CUCAUGAAUUUGCCUCUCUACGCGUGACCAGUGACACCGUUGAGAGCUAAUGUGGCUUAAAGGAAUAUUGUUUCCCUGUUUGGAUCACCCAGGCAUCACCCAGCAUGAGUCCUAUGGGCAACAUCCUACCUGGGAUGUGUCACAUGCCAUUCUUCUGAUUUUCAUGAAUAUCCUCUAAAAGGCAGCUAAGCACUCGCUGUCUUCUUCCUUUUGCCUCAUCAAGCACGGGGGACGCUGGAAGGAAGAGGCAUCAACAGUGAGAACUGGGCAAAGCACAUGAGAUGUCUAAGAUCUGCCAGGAAAAGGACCAUGAAGGACUUGCCUGUGGUCAAGAAUCUACAUCUCAGUAUUUGUACAGUUGAGCCGAAAUGCCUGUUCUAACAAAGAGAGCCUGGGUGGGACUGCCAAGAUGAAUAGACAUAAUCCUCGAUCUAACCACUUCACAGUUUAUCAUCGGAGUCAAGUUUGCAGAUAAACAAUUGCCAUGCAACUUUCAAGAGACGGGGUGUCAUCCUGUUGCUCAGGCUGGUCUCAAACUCCUGGCCCUAAGUGAUCCUCCUGCCUCAGCCUCUCAAAGUGCUGGGAUUACGGGUGUGAACCUAAUCGCAGAGAAAAUGGUGCCUGAGAUGAGCAAGGUCAGCAGACAAGAAGUGAGGUCAAUGUCAGGUUUCCAUGCCAGCAGCGGGAACUCUGGAUACAGUGGAGAGUCACAGCUGGUCAAACCCUGAACCGCUUGCUCCUUGAAAUGGCCAGAGAGGCCCAUCCCAGAGCCAUCUCAUCAUCUCUCCUCAGACAGGAAACCGAGAAGGAAAACAAUCAGCUCUGUUCUCUCUGGGCCGAGGGAGUGAGCUGUAAUGAGGGAGCACAGGAACGCAUUGGGCGCCCUCAGACCUGAACACACAGGUUAGCACCACCUGCCUGGCUGACCUGGCUCACAGUUGAGAAUAACUCAUCCAGGGUUGUUGAAUGGUGGAGGAUCUUCCAAAAUCAGCAGCUAGGAGGUCGAGAACCCUUCAUGCCAUACUAAGAAGUUUCAUGCUAGGCAAAGAAGAGUGACAAGGUAUUUCAACAGGUGAAUGAUAGGUACACAAAGAAGGAUUACCACAGGAAAUCCAGAGAGGCUUUAGAAGACGAGCUUGCGUUGAGAUAGAAGCCGGAAGCCCACUUAGCCAACUGCCUCCAUGGGACUUGGCAUGAGGCAGGCUUAUGACAGUAAAUGCUACACUGCCCUCAGUGAAAAAGAGAAUUUGGCAUUCAUUCUUCUGAACCCGCCAUCCCUCAGCCUUGGCGCCUGGGAAUUCUGCGAAUCGUUGCCUGUGGCAGUGACACUGAUUUGUAUCUGGGUAUGAACUUAAAUGAAAACAUGAAUUGAACUCAUUACUUGAGGAAGGAAACACUGCCAAAUUUAACAGGAUGAAAUUCCAGCAGGGUGUAAGGUUUUAUGGGGCUACAGUGGAAUAUCUCAUAGAAAGGUUUCCAGUUCAUAAAACACUUUCAAAACAUGCUCGGCCCUUUUAAGUUGAAGGGACAUUAUCAUUUCUAUCUAUGGCAUUUCUCUGCAAAUUGAACUCAAAUAUCCUUUGGGCUGACUACACAGAGAACAGAAGAAAGAAGUGGAAGAAACUUGGACUGAAGAUUGCCUCCCUGAAAAGGUUUUCUUCAGGCAGAAUUAGGUGAGAACAAAUGACAUCAGAAAGUAGCAUGUCAGUAUACUGCUGCCAGCUCCAUAUGGUUCAGCUUGUUUUCACAGGUAUUUAAUUAAUUCCACAAACAUAUAUUGAGUAUCAGAUGUGGGAUCCUGUUCAACACAUUUGGGGUACAGUAGUCAAUUAGUCUACUCUCAUGGCACAUACAUGCUGGAAGGAGAGAAAAACAAUAAAUAAAUGAACAAAAGAUGCAGUAUCAGGUAGUGAUCAUUGCUAUCAAGAAAAAUAAAGCAAGAGAAAAUGGGAUAGAAGGUGUCAGGGGUGCGGGGUGACAUUUUACAUAGUGUGUUUGGCAAAGGCAAUUCUCAGGUGGUGACAUUUGAACAGAAGCUUGAAUGAAGUGACCUACAUGUUGAAUCCAGAAAGCUAAUUUUAUAUAUAUAUAUUUUUGGAAGGGGGCAGGAGAUAAUAAGCUAGUAAAAGGGUUGGGAAAUUAUUUUGAUUCAAGGAUGCCCAGUUUAAAAAACUGUAAGAGACAGCCCCUCUUUUUCUCCCAGUAUAGCGCUUUCGGUGGCCAUUUGAAUAGAGCUCUGCAUGUUUCCUUGGGAUUUUCUGGUGUUCAUGGCAUAACAACCAGCCAGCAGUCUUCUGGCUGGACCACGUUUUACUUGCUAGCAAGGAGCAGAAGCUGUGGAAAUUGGCAUGUAGAGAUGUAAAAGGAUUUUAUACUUUUCAGCCUGGGCAGAAAAUUAUAGAGAAAAGUAGGUGGGAGUCAGAAAAACAUGAAAUGAGAAAGAAAAGCAUAAUCUGAGUGAGUUCUCUCUCUUUUUUUUUUUGUUUUCUAUGUUUAUCUUUCCACAGCUUUUUCACUGGCUCUGUUAAAAAGCAAAUAUCACUGCAAACUUCAUUUCAUUUUCUCUCAACAGAUGAAAUAAAGCUUGUUAAAAUGUUUUUCCCUUCUGUCAGGUGCAAACUCCAUGUUAGCAGGUUUGAAAACUUUCACAUGUUCAGAUAGCAAUGGAGGUUUUAACUUGGCCAACAUCAACAAACAAACCAUGAGUCCCUCACGUGUGCAAUGCUUGCAUAGAAUGAAAUUGAGUAUGAGCAUGUUUGCCAACCCUACUACAAAUGGUUUAUUUAGAAUAGUAGAAUGUGAAAAAUACAGAUUUAUUUUUAAUAGCUAGUACCAUGAUGAUUAUUGAUUUUUUCUUCCAGAUUAUUAAUUUAAAUAGCAAAAUUAUGCUACAUGUUUAAAAUAUGUCUGUAUCCUGAAAGUACUUAUUGUAAGCUUAAGCCCAGUCUUAUUUCUAAAAAGAUAAUUUGUAGGAGGUAUAAUUUUCAUUUGUAUUCAUGUAUAUUAAUAUAUUUUUUGGUGUUACACUGUUGCAUGAGGAUAGCUGUAAGGUCAGGAUAUUUAGGAAACCUCUGAAUUGAACAUUGAGCUUGUGGAUCUAAUAUUUAAGUAACUGGUUUCUGUCUACGUACUCUUUUCUCUUCCGUGGUAAGCCCUGCAGGCAAGCUCACUUCUCUAUGUUCUCAGUUGUAAAUGAGGAAAGUAGGACGAGGUAUGGAGCUGGAGGGUAAAUGGCAGAAUAGAAGACAGAGUGCCAUUCUGCGUAAGAGCACCACCUUUUGUGUUUGGCAGGCUUGGUUUUAGUCCUGAUUUUUCCAGGUCCAAGUAUAAUCUGGAGCAUUUCUCAAAUUCACUAAACCUCAGUUUCACCUUCUGUAAAACGAAGCUAUUUCAUUGAGUUAUUUUGGGUUACAUAUGUAAAAUUUACAGCCAAAUACUUAACACUCAAGUCUGUCAAGAAACAAUUCCAAAUAUUUUAUAAUAAAUAUAUAAAAAACUUUCACAAUUCAUGGAAUUUACUUCUUGAUUAGUUGCCAUGGUCUAUGGUUAUAAUGAAAUGUACUCUUGGCAGUCCUGGAUAGAGAAGCUCUUGAACCACAACCACAACCAUUACCUUGGAGAUGUCGAAACUGCCCUUUUCCCCGAGACCAUCAUUAGUGCUUUCCACGAACCUGGAUGAUAACCUCACGUUCACCUUUCAAAGCCAAGAAUAACAAGAGAAUUGAAUGUAAUGAUAAUGUUUCUUCUUAAAAUUAUGCCAAAUCCGACUUAGUUGAUGUGAGUUCUGCUUUUUAAAUUAAAGAAAGUACAAAGUCUAUUUUGUGGGUUGGCUAAAAGGGCACUGGUUAAAGAAAACAAUGGUUAUUUGUUUCUGAUGUACAAAUGAUCCACACAGACACAUCUUUAGAUGAAACCCCAAAUUCUUUACUGGUUGGGUUCUACAAAGAGUGACAGUAGUAAUUUGGUGAAGCAGCAGGGGGCAGAGGACUCUUGGUGGUAAGUUAACUUGAUUCUACUUUGAAAACUCUG
rnacentral:lncRNA from 10 species